rnacentral:tRNA from 1 species
GCAGUGGUGGUUCAGUGAUAGAAUUCUUGCCUUCCAUGCAGGAGACCCGGGUUCGACUCCCAGCCAAUACA